rnacentral:miRNA from 1 species
CUGAAAGCUGAAGGUUUCAUC